UACGGAGGUUGCAAGCGUUGUUCGGAAUGACUGGGCGUAAAGGGAGCGCAGCCGGCUCGAUUAGUCUGGAGUGAAAGCCCGGGGCUCAACCCCGGAGGGUCUUCGGAUACUGUCGAGCUCGAGUACGGAAGAGGAGAGUGGAAUUCCAGGUGUAGCGGUGAAAUGCGUAGAUAUCUGGAGGAACACCGGUGGCGAAGGCAGCUCUCUGGGACGGUACUGACGCUGAGACGCGAAAGCGUGGGGAGCGAACAGG
rnacentral:rRNA from 1 species